GACGAACGCUGGCGGCGCGCUUAACACAUGCAAGUCGAACGGAAAGGCCUGCUUUCCCUUGUGGCUUGCGGGUACUCGAGUGGCGAACGGGUGAGUAACACGUGAGUCAUCUGCCCCCAACUUGUGUAUAAGCCUGGGAAACUGGGUCUAAUUCCCGAUAGGACUUCAGGGUGGUGCCUUUGGUUGAACACGAUUUUCUAGUGGUUGGGGAUGAGCUCGCGGCCUAUCAGCUUGUUGGUGGGGUAAUGGCCUACCAAGGCGGCGACGGGUAGCCGGCCUGAGAGGGUGGACGGCCACAUUGGGACUGAGAUACGGCCCAGAGUCGUAGGGGAGGCAGCAGUGGGGAAUAUUGGACAAUGGGCGGAAGCCUGGUGCAGCGACGCAGGGUGGGGGAUGACGGGCUGCGGGUUGUAAACUCCUUUCGACCGCGAGGAAGCCACCUGGUUGGAAGGGUGGUGACGGUAGUGGUAGAAGAAGCACCGGCUAACUACGUG
rnacentral:rRNA from 1 species